rnacentral:rRNA from 1 species
UACGUAGGGUGCGAGCGUUAAUCGGAAUUACUGGGCGUAAAGCGUGCGCAGGCGGUUCUGAAAGUCAGCUGUGAAAGCCCCGGGCUUAACCUGGGAAUUGCGGUUGAAACUACAGGGCUAGAAUCUGGCAGAGGGGGGUGGAAUUCCACGUGUAGCAGUGAAAUGCGUAGAGAUGUGGAGGAACACCGAUGGCGAAGGCAGCCCCCUGGGUCAAGAUUGACGCUCAUGCACGAAAGCGUGGGGAGCAAACAGG